rnacentral:lncRNA from 1 species
GGCAGGGUGCUGCAUGUCCUGUCCUUCCACUGCAAUUAUUGCUCUUCUCUAGAUGUGACUUCAGUGAAUAACAAGUGUUAGAGUCACUGACACCUCAAACGUUCUUUGAAGAGACUAAAAGAUGGAAAGGUUAAAAAAAUAUGCAAUGUCUAACUAAUGUUGAUUAUGAAAAUUGAUUGUUUUUGCAUAACCCUUUCUGCUUAGGAGAAAAAUGAAGGCAGUGCCUUCUUCCAGUUUAAACUUCCCAGUUUUAACUCAAUAUUUGUAUCAGACUCAGCAGUGCUGACAACUGACUUGCUAACAGAGGCUGUUUGAAAGCACAAAGGCUGCAAACAAAGCUGUAUGAAGCUUAUGACCCUUCUGCCAUAAAGACCCUUCCUAGUUUUGCUUCCCUUCCUGCCUGAAGGUCUCUCAUUGUAUGUUUUACCAGUUUCUCCUUCCCCAAAUAACCUGAUGCACAAUUAAUUCAAUUUCAAUAGAAAAAGA